GACGUAGGGGGCGAGCGUUAUCCGGAUUCACUGGGCGUAAAGGGCGCGCAGGCGGUUACGUAAGUCCGGCGUGAAAUCCCACGGCUUAACUGUGGAACUGCGUCGGAUACUGCGUUUGACUUGAGGAUGGUAGAGGCCAUUAGAACUAGCGGUGUAGCGGUGAAAUGCGCAGAUAUCGCUAGGAAUGCCGGUGGCGAAGGCGGAUGGCUGGGCCACUCCUGACGCUGAGGCGCGAAAGCUAGGGGAGCGAACCGG
rnacentral:rRNA from 1 species